GACGAACGCUGGCGGCGUGCCUAAUACAUGCAAGUUGAGCGCUGAAGGUUGGUACUUGUACCAACUGGAUGAGCAGCGAACGGGUGAGUAACGCGUGGGGAACCUGCCUUUGAGCGGGGGACAACAUUUGGAAACGAAUGCUAAUACCGCAUAAAAACUUUAAACACAAGUUUUAAGUUUGAAAGAUGCAAUUGCAUCACUCAAAGAUGAUCCCGCGUUGUAUUAGCUAGUUGGUGAGGUAAAGGCCCACCAAGGCGAAGAUACAUAGCCGACCUGAGAGGGUGGUCGGCCACAUUGGGACUGGGACACGGCCCAAACUCCUACGGGGGGCAGCAGUAGGGAAUCUUCGGCCAUGGACGGAAGUCUGACCGAGCAACGCCGCGGGAGGGAAGAAGGGUUUCGGAUCGUAAAACUCUGUUGGUAGAGAAGAACGUUGGUGAGAGUGGAAAGCUCAUCAAGUGACGGUAACUACCCAGAAAGGGACGGCUAACUACGUG
rnacentral:rRNA from 1 species